UCUAUAAUAAUAUUCUAGAUAAUAACCAAAAACAGCAAAAUUUCCUUAAAAUUACCAUUUCAGGGGCAGAAACCCAACAACAGGUUGUCAGAUUCAUCUGAAAAUUUCAGGGCAGAUAGAUGUUGACCUGAUAAACAAUUUUACCCCAUGUCAGAUUUGCUCUAAAGGCUGCGGUUUCAGAGUUAUAAGCCAAAAUCUACAUUUCACCCCUAUGUUCGAUUUUUAGCCAUGGCGGCCAUCUUGGUUUGUUGGCCGGGUCACGGGACACAAUUUUUAAACUAGAUACCCCAAUGAUGAUUGUGGCCAAGUUUGGUUUAAUUUGGCCCAGUAGUUUCAGAGGAGAAGAUUUUUUGUAAAAGAUAACUAAGAUUUACGAAAAAUGGUUAAAAAUUGACUAUAAAGGGCAAUAACUCCUAAAGAAAUCAACAGACCAUUUUGGUCUUGUUGACUUAUUUGUAGAUCUUACUUUGCUGAACAUUUUUGCUGUUUACAGUUUAUCUCUAUCUAUAAUAAUAUUCAAGAUAAUAACCAAAAACAGCAAAAUGUCCUUAAAAUUACCAAUUCAGGGGCAGCAACCUAUCAACGGGUUGUCCAAUUCAUCUCAAAAUUUCAGGGCAGAUAGAUCUUGACCUGAUAAACAAUUUUACCCGAUGUCAGAUUUGCUCUAAAUGCUUUGGUUUUUGAGUGAUAAGCCAAAAACGGCAUUUUACCCCUAUGUUCUAUUUUUAGCCAUGGCGGCCAUCUUGGUUGGUUGGCCGGGUCACCGGAC
rnacentral:lncRNA from 1 species